rnacentral:rRNA from 1 species
GACGAACGCUGGCGGCGUGCUUAACACAUGCAAGUCGAACGGAAAGGCCCUGCUUUUGUGGGGUGCUCGAGUGGCGAACGGGUGAGUAACACGUGAGUAACCUGCCCUUGACUUUGGGAUAACUUCAGGAAACUGGGGCUAAUACCGGAUAGGAGCUCCUGCUGCAUGGUGGGGGUUGGAAAGAUUCGGCGUUGGGGGAUGGACUCGCGGCUUAUCAGCUUGUUGGGGUGGUAGUGGCUUACCAAGGCUUUGACGGGUAGCCGGCCUGAGAGGGUGACCGGCCACAUUGGGACUGAGAUACGGACCAGACUCCUACGGGAGGCAGCAGUGGGGAAUAUUGCACAAUGGGCGGAAGCCUGAUGCAGCAACGCCGCGUGCGGGAUGACGGCCUUCGGGUUGUGAACCGCUUUCGCAUGUGACGAAGAGUGAGUGACGGUAAUGGGUAAAGAAGCCCCGGCUAACUACGUG